AACGAACGCUGGCGGCAUGCCUAACACAUGCAAGUCGAACGAGACCUUCGGGUCUAGUGGCGCACGGGUGCGUAACGCGUGGGAAUCUGCCCUUUGCUUCGGAAUAACAGUUAGAAAUGACUGCUAAUACCGGAUGAUGUCUUCGGACCAAAGAUUUAUCGGCAAAGGAUGAGCCCGCGUAGGAUUAGGUAGUUGGUGGGGUAAAGGCCUACCAAGCCGACGAUCCUUAGCUGGUCUGAGAGGAUGAUCAGCCACACUGGGACUGAGACACGGUCCAGACUCCUACGGGAGGCAGCAGUGGGAAUAUUGGACAAUGGGCGAAAGCCUGAUCCAGCCAUGCCGCGUGUGUGAAGAAGGUCUUCGGAUUGUAAAGCACUUUAAGUUGGGAGGAAGGGUAGUAACCUAAUACGUUGCUACUUUGACGUUACCGACAGAAUAAGCACCGGCUAACUCGUGCCAGCAGCCGNGGUAAUGUGACUAC
rnacentral:rRNA from 1 species